UUUAAAUCUGUAAGCUGUCUUUACUUUUGAAGAUCUUUCAAGUUGGUAAAGUUGCUUCCUUUUCAUUGAUAUAUUCAUGUAUUCAAGAUUGAUGUUAAGGCUACCCGGAGGUGUGUCCAUGUAUGUGUGUUAAUAUAUAUGGCCAAUGGAUGCUCAGUGGAUUCUUUGUGAAACCUUGAGCAAAUUGCACUACUCUUUCAAAUAAAGACAGUUUUAUUUUUCCUUAGUCCAGCCUGGUUAGCCUGCAUUUUUAGCAUUCUCACAAGAGAUUCUGUGGAGGCCCCAAGCCAACAAUUACUUGUUGGUUAUUUUUAAAGGCAAUAAAGUGAGAAAAAGAAAAAAUAACCAUCAGAAGUAGCUAACUUUGCUAUGUUUUUUUUUUUUCAGUGAAAAUUGCUCUGAUGGGCUUUUGGGAUUCUUUUCUCACUCAUUCACAACCGAAGCUGUCAUUUUUAGUCAGCCAAUCCCAAGAGUUUGUUCAUUAUAUGAAGGAAAUAUGUUUAAGUGUUCACAGGCAGUGCAGUGAGGAUUUCCAUAAGGUCUGUAUCUCUGGUGAGAUAUUUCACAUUGUGUUUUUUAACCUGUAUGAGGUAUACCAAGGUCUCCUAUUUUAUCCUAUUGAGAUAAAAGCUAAAGCCCAUGUUUUCAUAAAGUGCUUCAUAUAUGCUUUUUAAGGUAGUGAUUAGAAUAUCUAUAUACACAUUCAUACUUAGUGGAAGUCAUUAGUAAGUGCAGUGUGUCUAAAAUUUGGACCUAGAAACUUUACAAAGGUGGAAGCCUAAAUAAGGAGUUUCAGAGUUUUAACUGUUUUAAUGGUUCUCUCUCUAUAGACAUGGAGAGGAAAUGAGCCGGAAGAAUGGAUCCCUCGGACAUACCAAGACUUAGAAGGUCUGCCAUGUAUAGUGAUAUUAACUGGCAAAGACCCUCUUGGAGAAACCUUUCCCAGGUAUAGUCUGAAUAACCGAACUCUGCUUGCCACCAGGUGGCAGCUGCACUGAUGAUUAAAACUUGGCUGAUGCAUGCUUAUUAGUCUGAGGUAAUGAGAAGAAGGUUGUUUCAUUCAGGGAUGUAAGAAUACAGCUUUCCUUCCUUGUCUCUUUCCACUUUCCAGAGAGCACCCUCCAAUUCUGGGAAUGGAGAGAGCCACAUUUUAAAAUGUUUGUGCAUGAAAGCAAGGCAGCCAGAGAGGCUGAGAGGAAAAGCAGAGUUUUUUGUUUUGUUUUGUUGUUGUUUGGUACUGAAGACUGAACCUAGAGUCACUUUCCCACUGGCCCUUUUAUUCAUUGUUUUAAUUCAAAAAUUUAUUUUAUUUUAUUUUUCUAGUUAUCAAUGGACCUUUUUAAAAAUUUAUUUAUAUGUGGUGCUGAGGAUCGAACCCAGUGCCUCACACAUUCCAGGCAAGUGCACUACCACUGAGCCACAGCCUCAGCAUUCAAAAUUUUUUUGAGACAGGGAUUCAUUAAGUUGGUGAGGCUGGCUUUGAACUGUCCGUCCUCCUGCUUCAGCCUCCUGAGUAGCUUUGUUUACAGGUGUGCCUCUGCACUGGGCUUUUUUUUUUUUUUUUAACAAAGUACUUUGUCUCUGUUGCUCUGCUAUUCCCAAUCCCAUCAAGGAUCUACGGUGCAGAGUUUGGAAGGCAGCUCUAAUAUAAGCAUCAAUUGGAUGCUUAUGGAGUCCAUCGGGCUGUGCCCUAAAUACAUUAUGUGUUUCAUGCUGUCCUUCCUUGCAGUGACCAUAGUAGGGCUCUGUGUUUUCUAUUUGAAAGAAGAUGAAUUGCAAAGAAGUUCAGGUGGUAAUGUCUGGGAGGUGGCAGAACUGAGGUUUGAAUCAAGGUGUAGCCCUGGUCUUCACUGCUGCAUGACAUACAGGACCUACAGGUCCAGCUUAGACACUGCACACCCAGCCCCAGGGACUCACUACCAAUGCAAUUAAUUCUGUGCAGGUCUUUGAAGUACUGUGACCUCCGGUUAAUUGACUCAAGCUAUUUAACUCGCACGGCCUUGGAGCAGGAGGUGGGUCUGGCCUGCUGCUAUGUCUCAAAAGAGGUCAUCCGAGGGCCCACUUCCGCCCUGGACCUCAGUGGCAAGGAGCCAGAGAGGGCCCCCGUCAUUGAGAAUGACUCUGAGGAGCUGCUCAUUGACCUGGAGCGGCCACAGAGCAACAGCAGCGCUGUCACGGGAACUUCGGGUAGGUACUCUUUCCUUUCUCACAGGAGGGACAGGCCAGGAGGUGUGCAGGUGUGGAAGGCAGAGCUGUUUACGGACCCCUACCGUGCCCAGAGCAGCCAUGGCAACUGUGGCACCCUCUCUAGACCUCAGCUUCCCAGGAGGGCUACCUGGAAAGCAAGGCUGCAGAAUAGUCAUAGCCUACUUCUCUGGGUAAAAAUUUGACCAAGAAUUUGAUAAUAGAUUAAACAGAAUACAUUUUCCCAACCCAGCCUGCACCCCGCUCCCUAGCACUUCCCAUCCUAUCUCCUGUAGUCACUGUACAUCUCAUAUUUGUACAAAAGCCCCCUUUCCUGCCAGGGCCUGAAGCCAUAAGUUUAUGUUGAGUAGCUUACAGCCCGGAACAAAACAUGUUGAGCGAGGGAAUAAAUGACUUUCCUCAAUACUUAGUGGCAAGUGUUCGUAGAGGGCAGGCAUCUCGGGUUGACUGGGAAGAGCCUCCAUGAGCCUGCCGGCCCUUCUUUCAGCAUUCUGAAUGUGGCCUGGCCUGAAUUUCCUUCUGAUAAAUUAUAGGACAGCAAAUCCAGCCCUAUGUUCUAGUCUUUUCUGAUUAUGUUAGUAGUAAAGCCUAAUGUAGAAAACUCAGAGAAUGUAACAAGAUACAGAGAUUCAAAGUGAAACAAUCCAUCGCCAGAGGUAACGCCAGCAACCUCUGAGGCUGCACAUCCCCCAACUCCUUUCCCUUUUUCCUCAACCUAUUAUUUAGAUCAUUUUUUCACACACACACACACACACACAAUAUUUUGUGUCCAAGGCUGUGCUGGUGUUCCUGUUUAUUCUGUCAGCAGCUGUUAGAUGGCUCUCUGGGAACUAAAGAGGCCCUGGCCUGUGGGGUUUUCUGUCCUCGCCACCGAGGGCCUGAAGGAGCAGGAGACCCGCCCUUCUCCCUGUGCACAGCUCUCCCUCCACAGGACCAGCCUGCCCCUGUUUACACUUCCAGCUCCCUCAACCCUAUCACUAUAAGUCUCCCCAAUUUUCCCUCUGAGACUAUCUCAACAUAAAGUCAUAAGAUAGUAAAGGGUAUCAGAGGAGUACAGGGAAAUGUCACCUUUAGGAGCUUUGGGAUUCAGGGGGCAUCAGGAAGGGAAAGGUGGGGAUGGAGGGACACCUGUCUCCCUCCUGCACUUCAGAGCGGAUCUGCGCCAUGUGGCUCCUACACCUCAAGCUCCAGGAGGCUCACACAGAGGAAAUGGUUUUCCCUCUGCUUCUUAGUCUCCUGCCCCACGUUAGUUUUCCUGCUCACAACAUGGGCAUCUGGAACCCCGCCCGUGGGCUCCCUCUGCGGGUGACAGGGCUGAGGGAGUUGUAAAACUCAGAGGAGCAGUGAGUGACUUGGUUUUAAUAGCCACCAGCUCAGGACCUCUCAGGUCUGGAUCUUGCAAGGCUGGGAUUAGACCUACAUGCCUGCACAGCACCAGCCUGAGCUGAAAGAACCUUUAGCCGGAGUAUAAGGAGCUUGUAUUGUCUCAAUCAAACAGGCUGACCUGUUGGGGGGGAAACAACAUACUCAAAGUUAAUUGGCCAAAUGUGGAGGAAUAGCCCUGGGGACGUACAACACCUGGUACUGAGUAAGAAUGCCUUCCAUCCUCUUUUGCACGGGGACAUCCCCACCCUAGGGAGCUUAGCCACAGCCAGCCAUGUGAGAGGCCUGGAGCCCUAAACCCCACCUCAAGGCAGCCACUGCCACUGUAGGGAACUUGAAUCUGGUGCCUGUAUCCACCAGGGUCCUGGAGGGAUCCCGUGUCAUACUGAAUGAGUGGGUUGGAGAAGAGUUUAAUAAUGGGACUGAUUCCCCGUGGGCACAAUUUUGAAAGGGAGCAACAGGUGACAUUGUGCAUGGAAAGUUAACCUGGGAGCCCUGUCCACCAUCAGGCUUGAAGGAAGGCAGGAAGGAGCAGUUACUGAGACCCAAGAAAGAAAGGCCACCCAGGGUGACCACACAGGAAGAAAGUGAGAACCAACUUCUUGCUGGUGUCUCCCAUUGGCCAAACCCAUAAAAAAGGCAAAGCAAGGGAGCAGGCUGGAGCGGUGUGGAGACUCAGGCAAAGGGAAGAUUUAGCACAGAGUCUGCAGCCCACAGAGCUGGGCCAGGAUCCAGCUGCUUUGAGGGCCUUUGCCCUCUCCCUCGGCAACAGUGAUGAGUGGGUGUAGGGAAGGUUCUGUCCGUCGUCUUUCAGGUUCCAUCAUGGAGAAUGGGGUCAGUUCCUCCAGCACAGACAAAUCCCAGAAGCAGUCCCUGACCCCCAGCUUCCAGAGCCCAGCCACCAGUGUGGGGAUGGACGAAGGUGUCUCGGCCAGCACAACUGGAGCUGGGGACCCCCUGAAGCAGGAGUGUGACUCCCUGGGCCCUCCAAUGGCCAGCAGUACCACCUCCAAGCCGUCGUCGUCGUCCUCGGGACCCAGGAGCCUUGCAUGGCCAGGGCAACCUCCCAGAGGCUGUAGGGGCCUACACGCCACCCUGCCCCCAAUCGUGAUCUUAUCCAAAGCAGCCUACAGCCUCUUGGGCUCCCAGAAGGGUGGCAAGCUGCCCUCCUCCUCGUCUCUGCUGCCCCAUGCUGAUGUGGCCUGGGUCAGCUCCCUGCGGCCAUUCCUGCACAAGGACAUGAGCAGCGAGGAGCAGUCCCUCUACUACCGGCAGUGGACCUCGGCUCGGCAGCACCAUGCCGACUUCAGCAACCAGCCCGACCCAGCCUCGGGUGCCCGGACCUUCCACCCCCGGCGGCUGCUGCUCACUGGGCCCCCCCAGGUAGGGACAGGCCAGGCUGAGCCCUGUCCUAGGCUAGGGCUGGCACAUCUUGCAUGUGGAGAGGAACCAGGGGACCUCCUUGGGGUGGGUGGGGGUGGCAGGCCUCGAGGAAAGACCUCCUUCAGGCCCCCGGAGUGAGGCGCCAAGGUGUGAAAUCUCUUUUCUCCUUCCCUUCCUUCUCUUCCCCUCCCCCGCCCUUCCCCAAUUAAAACUAUUUCCAUCAGGUGGGAAAGACUGGCUCCUAUUUACAGUUCCUUAGGAUCCUCUUCCGCAUGCUCAUCCGGCUCCUGGAGGUGGAUGUGUACGAUGAGGAGGAGAUCAAUACUGGUGAGUCCUGAGCCGGGCGGGACACAAACGCAUUAGACACCAAGUGCAGGGAGCUUGCUUUUGCUUUCUGGGGUUUCUAUAAUACCAAACUUGCCCUGCCCUGACAAAGGUUACCAAGGUUGAAGACAGGUAUGCCGGGCAAAUAAUUGUAAGACUGCCCUCUUUCAGUUCCAGGAGGUCAGGAGGACCUCCCUCUCUCCAGUGUCCAGCAAGUACAGGGCAACAGGCAUUUGAUAAAGGCUUGUUAGGCACCUUAAUUCCUAGAUGGCCAAACUCAUAAAAUCCCAACUUGUAGUGUUCAAUUUUGUAAGGAUCCAGGGAACAUUUAUAUUUUUAAUUCCAGUCCUUUGUUGGUUAGCCAGAGUGUAUCUUAUAUUUUAACCUCAGGUUGUGUGUGAAGGUGGAGGAUUACUAUAAGGAAAUGAAAACUUCCUGAGUGUAGAACCGAACACCUAUGCCACCGCUUCCCCUCUGCAACAAGAGACGAUGGAGGGGCUUGAGGGCUGUGGGGUCCAGUGUGCCAAUAAAGAUCUCCUGAGGGCUAGGGGUGUAGCUCUGCUGUGGACCCCUUGCCUAGUGUGCUGUAGGCUCUGGGUUAGAUCCUUGGCAUCAAACCAUAAACCUUUCAUGCUGACAGAAGUUGUGGGAGGCAGCAGAGGGGGCCUGGCAGAAGUUCUUCUGAGUCCCUCAGAGACGAGGACUGCCCUUGACAUCUUCUAUCAAAUCAGUUCUUGGAGAGCUUAUCUCACUUGUUUUUCUUAAAAUAGUUGGGCCUGUUCUAUGAACAGCCCCAAGACUAAUGCAGAUACAAAUAGAUAAAAAUCAGCCACGUUUAAUCAUUUUGUUAUGGCUUUAGCCCUGUACCCAUUCCUCACUAAUCCACAUCUAUGAUUUCAGAGACACACAUACAAUGUCCCCCACCCACAUCUCUUUGUGUCCCCAGCUAAGCUGCAUCAAAUCCCCUGGGGCCCACCACAGAGGAGAAGGAGAGCUUCAGGGUGGCCUCAAAACACCCCAAGCCUUGGAAAGGGGCUGGGACCAAAAAGACAAGCCUUUGGGAGCCAGGGCCCUGUUGUUCCUGCCAGCUCUCCCACCAGGCUCCCUGACAGCACAAGGAAGCGAUGCCUUUGAUUUUUAUCCUCAGAUUGUACAAGAGAGGUCUCAAAUCUUCCUCUGCUCCUGAGGCUGUGGUUGUCCAUCCCAGCCGGUCUGAUGGAAGAGCCUGGGCUUUCUUCGCACUCACUCUAGUGCAGGUUAACACAGUGGUGCUAUGGAGAGGCACAGUGACACUUCCUUAAACUAGAAUAAAACUUGAAAUUUUAAAUAAAAUACAAAAUUCAACUCAAGGCAUAAAAGUACUUGUUUGUGCUAAAAUAAUAACGGCAGCACUUCCAGUCUUUUAGGCUUCAUUUUCCACCAAAGUGUAUUUCUUUCAUUCCCUCUUUAAGCUACUUUUCUUUUUGGGGGGUGGGGGAGGUAGGAUACUAGGGAUUGAACCCAGAGGUGCUUAAACACUGAGCCACAUCCUUAGCCCUUUUUUAAUUUUUUGAGACAGGGUCUUACAAAGUUGGUGAGGUUAACCUUAGCCUCCUGAGUUGCUGGGAUUUCAGGCAUGCACCAUACCUGGCUUAGGCUGCUUUUUGAUCUUACACAUUUUACCAAUAGCAUCAUCUACUAGACACCAACUCUGCCUGCCAUUCCAAGAAACCAUCCCUAAAACUAUAAGAACUCAGGCACUUGGAGGGGUUAAGUUUGGUUCUUAUAGGUGUAAAGCAGUAUUCAAGCCCCAGCCUAACCUUGACCACACAAUGGAAUGAUCUAAGGAGCUCUGGCAGCAUGGUGGGUACCUGGGUAACAAAAGAGAUCCUGCCUUUACUCUUGUGGUGGGUGGGGCCUGAGAGUGGGGUUUCACGAGCUUCCAGGUAAUUUUAAUGUACAGCAGACACUGGCACUCUCAUCUUGAAGUCUCUUGGGUGUCAAUAUCUUAAAACCCCAUAACUAAAACUCUUUUAAGAAUUUAAAUCAUCCAAAUAAACAAGUUGUUUUUUUUUUUUUGGUGUGUGUGUGUGUGUGUGUGUGUGUGUGGGUUUUGGUGGGAAAUUCAGUUGAUCUAAUGGAUGCAAGAGUUUCUGAACUGGAUCUAUAGAGACUAGUGUAGGGGUGAACACUCCUUGCUUGAAGGAAUAAUUAUGGCUUUUUCUGUCCUGGGAUAAUGGGGCUCAUUUUUUCAGAAAUGCUUUGUUUACCCAUCGGGGCUUUAUGCUUCAGAAAACCUCUUCCUGACACUGUGGAGGGAGGGAGGGAGAGAGGGAGGUAGGUUAAUCUGCCUGUUCUGCACACUUCCUUCUUGUCCUAGAUCACAGUGAAAGCAGUGAAGUGAGCCAGUCAGAGGGAGAGCCCUGGCCUGACAUCGAGAGCUUCAGUAAAAUGCCUUUUGACGUCAGUGUGCAUGAUCCCAAGUACAGUCUGAUGAGCCCGGUGUAUACGGAAAAGCUGGCAGGGAUCAAACAAGGUCAGUGCAAGUGCAGCCAGGCUUACCUCCUGCAAAUCCAAGGAUACCAGAAAAUCAGGACACGAGGCCUGGGGCAGUUCAAUCUUUCGGAACAAUUUAAAUAAUUCUCCCAGUUUUCUCUUCUCUUUCUUAUUUACACACAUCAUCUUUUGAUUUUCUUUUUUUUUUAAGUAUUUAUUUAUUUUUUUAAUUGUAGUUGGAUACAAUACCUUUAUUUAUUUUUAUGUGGUGCCGAGGAUUGAACCCAGGGCCUCACCCGUGCUAGGCAAGCGCUCUACCACUGAGCCACAACCCUAGCCCAUCAUUUGAUUUUCAUACAUUCCUCUCAGGGCAUAAAUUAUAAAAUUCUUGGAAAAAAAUCCUUUUGGAAAAUAGAGGAUGUUUUUUUUCCCCCAGGUACAAGGGAUUUACACACAUAUUAUGGAAUGAUGGUUUUCUACCCCUUUUAUACACAGAAGUAAUAAAGGAAUGCAAAAUUGAGGAGCCCCGGAAACGAGAAACUGUAUCCAUGAUGCUGACCAAAUAUGCUGCCUACAACACCUUUCACCACUGUGAGCAGUGCCACCAGUAUAUGGACUUCACCUCUGCCUCCCAGGUGCAGCUCUCACCUUUGCCCCUGCCUUACAUCUCUGUUACCAAUAGGGAUUUGCGUGUAAGGAUAGGGGCGGAGGGAUAUAACAUAAGCCCCUAGAUAAAGUAUAGCUUAUUUAUGAGAAACAGCUACUCAUUGGUGAGAAAAAUGCAUGAAGCAAUGAUUAGAUGAGCUUUGGACUUACAGGGAUUGUGGGAGGGUAAGCAGCUUAGUUUUAGGGGCUUAAGUUACUUCAUGUGUCAUGUUUAGGUUAAAAAGCUGAGAUGCUUAUCUGUGAUUCUGAAAAAAACUAGAUAUUACAGUAUGCUCAGUAAAAGCCACCGCCCCGCCCCCCCUUGGGUUGUUGACUAAAAUGGCAGGAGUCCAUAUGGUGUGUCCUAACAAGUCUGAUUUUUCACCAAUCUAGGCACAUAUUACUUCUUGGGAUGAUUUUGACCAGUGGAGUCAAUGUUUCAUGCAGUGAAAGAAACACAGAAAGUGAGCCAUUAUCCCUUAGCAUUUGGCUUUUUUUGUGUGUGCUGUGGAUUGAACCCAGACGAUCACGUGAAUGCUUAAGCACUCACUGAGCUACACCCCCAGCACAGUAUUUUUGGCUAGUGCAUCUUUAAACACAAGGGAAUGGUAGCAAAUGACAAUAAAACCUAGAGCCUGUCCAUGCUGCUUUCUGCAAAUUUAUCUUCUUGAUUUUAUUUAUUUAUUUAUUUACUUACUUAUUUAUUUUUCGGAUUAUUUGGAAUUUAUUAUGUCUACUAGGCAUGAAAGUCAGAAAAUCCAGUAGAGAGUUGUCUAUAGGACUGUGGAUCAGUAUACAAUUUGGAGUUGAUAAAAUAAAACACUUAAGGCUUCAGAAAUAAAUCUCUUUAUAUAUUUUUUAUUUGUUCUGAUCAGUUAUACAUGACAGCAGAAUGUUCUUUGAUUCAUUGUACACAAAUGGAGCACAAUUUUUCACUUCUCUGAUUGUACUCUUCUUGAUUUUAAUGAGUUGGCACUGAGCACCUAGAAACAACUCUUGCUUCUUUGAGGCCAUGCUGAGUGGAUCCCCCAACCUGUUUCUGCUCCUCAGGACCAGGUCCUCACCCCUCCCCUGCAUCACAUCCUGAAAUACAAAUGGACACUGGAAAGGACACAUUGAAAAACUGGAAUACAGAUCACCUUUUGUACACUAUUUGCUUGCUUGGUGGGCUACUUUGAAAUCAGCUUUAAUGCUUUACAGAAUACAGAAUAUGCAAGUCCUCUGAUCUAUAAACCAUAAGUUUUUAGAAAAAUUUUAAAACCCCUUUUCAUAAAGGUUUAUUUAUUUUUUGGUACUGGGGAUCUAACCCAUUGAGCUACACCCCCAGCCCUGUUUAUUUUGAGACAGGGCCUCACUAAGUUGCUGAGGGUUUAGCUAAAUUGCUGAAGCGGGUCUUAACCUUGCGAUCCUCCUGUCUCAGCCUCCAGAGUUACUGGGAUUACAGGCAUGCACCCUAUGCCCAGCUUUUUCAUAUAUAAAGUUUCUGUAUGACUACAGUACUAAGUAAUAUAUUUCCACAUCUGUGAAGCAGAAUAAACUAGAAUUUUUUUUUUGAAAGAGAGAGAAUUUUAAUAUUUAUUUUUUUAGUUUUUGGUGGUCACAACAUCUUUGUUUGUAUGUGGUGCUGAGGAUCGAACCCGGGCCGCACGCAUGCCUGGCGAGCGUGCUACUGCUUGAGCCACAUCCCCAGCCCCAGAAUAAACUCGAAUUUAAAGGAAGAACCAUAAUAUUGUUUUUUCUAAGAAAUGUAAUAUUUGGGUUAAAACUAUUGAGAAACCAUUCUGGAUUCUGGUUACUGAGGAAUAACUGAUGUUAUCUUUCAUUAAGCCAAAUAUUGUCUGCAUUUUGUAAAAGCAUGUAAAAACCUAUUAUAUAAUUAUUCAGAGAUAGGCUACUGAGAGCACGUGAACUUCCCAGCAACUUGGCUAGGAUGAGUAAAUGGUCCUUCCCUAAAGCCAGAGUUUGGGACUAAAUGACUGUGUCUUUACAGCUUCCAGUGCAGCCAGGAAAGAUGGUGCCACAGAAGCCAAUUCAGUGGUGUCAGUUCUACUUUGUUUAGAAAGCUCAAAUUCAGUUCAUUCAACCCUGGCUCACAGAGCAUUAGUGUUUCCCCCUGUAACUGGGGGCCUUUGGGAAUGUGCACAUAGCAGAACACACCAGAGGGAGGUCUGAUCUCUGCCUAAGACUGAGCAAUUGAGCCCUAAGAGCAUGAAGAAUGAAAAGACAGUGGCAGCAACAAGUCCUUCAUCCAUGGAGAGGCCACACAGGGCAAGAUGCCUAGCUCUCAUGUCAGUGGAAGCUACUGUGUGUUGAAGCUUCCCACCCUUGUAACUGUUGCUACCCUCAGCCUGAAGAUCUGGUGGCACUUGUAGAUGUCAGUUUGCCUCUUAAUAACAAGGCCAAGGAGGGACCAGGAAGUCUGGAAACCCUGAGCUUACAUUCCCUUUCUUCUUUUCAAAUGUAGAUGUCUGACUCCACCCUUCAUGCAUUCACAUUUUCUUCCUCUAUGUUGGGAGAAGAAGUUCAGCUGUAUUUCAUCAUCCCCAAAUCCAAAGAGAGUCAUUUUGUCUUCAGCAAGCAGGGCAAACACCUGGAGAGCAUGCGGCUGCCUCUGGUUUCAGACAAGGUGGGUGAGAGGUCUAGAUGGUUGCCAGACACCCGGCACUAGAUCAGGUUCUCCAAGCUGCUCACAUCUGAGGGUUUUACUUUCCCUUUUUGGUCUUACUUUUUGGUUUUACUUUUCCUUUUCAGCAGAAUUUGAAUGCAGUCAAGAGCCCUAUUUUCACUCCUUCCAGUGGUCGCCAUGAGCAUGGACUCCUAAACCUUUUCCACGCCAUGGAGGGCAUCAGCCACCUUCACCUUCUAGUGGUCAAAGAAUAUGAGAUGCCGCUGUACCGCAAGUACUGGCCCAACCACAUCAUGCUGGUGCUUCCUGGCAUGUUCAACAAUGCAGGCGUGGGUAAGGGGCCCCCUGGGAUGGGGAGAAGGGCUAAGCAAACUGAGCUCCAUUCCCCUGCCAUAAAACUUCCAAAGGUUUCUCUGCCUCUGGACGGUGUCCUGCUCUCCUGGCCAGAAGUCUUUUGACGCUUUGCAUUUCUCUAUGCCCCUUACUACCUUUUCUGUAGUUUUGCAGAAAUUUUAACUUCCAAGGACUAGUAACUAAGGAAGUCACUGUAAUAUUGAGCACCCUGGGAAGGGUUUAAGAUUCUUCCCAGGAACUUGGUCCUUUGAGGCCAGAAUGUAACCCUGAAAAGAAAGAUGAUUUGAGGGGAGGUAGUGUUUCACCUGUUCUUAAGAGUCCCUGACUCACUGUCCUCCUAGGAGCACAUACCAAGUGCUAGCAGACGGCAACCCGUCCAGGGAAUUGGAAGAAUCAUUCCUGCUUGGAAGGAGUCUUUUCUGCUUUUCCCCAGGGAGUUUAGAAAUAAUGAAUUCAUUUCUCAAAGGGGCAAUGGUUGCAGAAUAUAAAGCAGAGCUGUGGGGAGGUAAUGGAGAUACCAAGAACACUUCAUUUUCCUUACAUAGAUGGGAAAACUCUCACUGAAUGUGUUGUUUUGGAACCAUACUAUUCUGUACACUUCAGACACUGCAGUUCUCAUUAUUUCCAUCAACUUCUAUGGGUGUCUGAAUAUUUCAUUGUGAUUUAUCUCCAUUUCCCUAAUGAUUAUGAAUGUUAUCUUUUCAUGUGCUUUUUGACUGUAUGUCUUUAGAAAAAUGCUCCGCAAAGUCUUUUGCCCAUGAAUCAUUUUAUUGUUGAGAUCAUAGAGAUUCUUUACAUAUUGUGGAUAUUAACUCCUUAUCAGAUGUUAUUACAGAUAUUACACCCAUUCCAUGUAUAGCCUUUUCACUGUGUUGUGUUCUUUAAUACAUAAAAGUUCUUAAAGAAGUCCAGUUUUUCUGUUUUUGCCACAGAUCACUGCCUAAUUCAAUAUCAUAAAGACUUCCCCUGUAUUUUCUUCAAAAUCUUUUACAGUUCUAGCUUUUAUGUCUAGGUCUGUGAUCCAGUUUAAUUAAUUCUUGUAUAUAGUGUAAAGGAAGUAAGUUCAUUUCUUGGCAUAUAGAUAUCCAGUUCUGCCAACACCAACUGAUGAUGAAACGGUCCUUCCCUCAUUUAAUGGCUUUGACAUCAUUGUUGACAAUCAUUUAACUAUAUAUAUGAGAGGGUUUGUUUCUGGGCUUUCUGUGUCUGUAUGUCACUCCCACAGUUUUGACAAAAAUGGUUUUAUACAAGUUUUAAAAUUAGUACAAAAUUUCUAAUUUUUUGAGACAUGAUAUUUGUACAUUUUUUAUGGAUUAUGGUACUUCAAUAUGCAUAUAAUGUAUAAUAAACCAAAUCAGGGUAAUAAGGACUUCAGUCUUUUCAAAUGUUGAUCCUUUUUAUGUGAUGGGGACAUUUAGUGCUGUUUUCUUAUCAUUUUGAAAUAAAUCAUAAUUUGCUAUAGCCAAAUUAACCUUCUGUGCUAUACAGAAAACCAGAACUAAUCCCUCUUUUCCAUGUGUUUGUGCUCUUCAUUGGGCUUUUCCCCAUCUCUUCCUCCUGGCUACACUUCCCAGUCUCAAGCAAGCACACUGCACUCCAUUCUUCUAAGAGAUCAGCUUUUUAGUUUUCAUAAGAGUAAGAACAUGGGUAUUUCUCUUUCUGUGGCUUAUUUCACCUCCCAUAACGCUCUCCAGUUCUUCCCAUGUUUCUGCAAAUGGCAACUUCGUUCUUUUUUAUGGUGGAAUAAUCUUCCAUUGUGUGUACAUAUACCACACUUACUUUAUCCAUUCGUCCACUGAUGGGCAUCUAGGUUGAUUUUAUAUCUUAGCUGUGGUAAAUAGUGCUAUAAUAAACAUGGGAGUGCAGAUAUCUCUUUGAUAUGAUUUCAUAUCAAUAUUGGGAUUGCAGGAUCAUUUAGAAGUUUUUAGUUUUUAAAGGAAUCUCUGUGCUGUUUUUCAAAAUGGCCGUAUGAGUUUACAUUUCCCAAUAGUGUAUAAGAUUUCCUCAUUCUCUGCAUCCUGCGGCAUCUUGUCUUUUUGAUAACAGUCAUUCCAACUGUAGUGAGGUUUACUUUUGUUCUGUACCUUUGGGAUCCUAUCUAAAAAAAUCAUCGCCUACACCAAUGAAACCUGCCACUUUGGCUUGUAAAAUUUUUGUUCUUACACCUAGGUCUUGAAUCCAUUUGAGAUGACUUUUGUGCAUUUACAGUGGUCUAGUUUCAUUUUUCUACAUACAGAUAUCCAGUUUUCCUGCCACAAUUUAUUUGAAAAGGUUGUCUUUAAUAAACAUUUGUAGCAUCUUUGUCAAGAAUCGGUGACUGUUAGGUGUGUGGAAUUGUCUGUGUCUUCUGUUCCAUUGGUCUACGUAUCUAUUUUGAUGCCAGUACCAUUCUGCUUUUGUUACUAUGGCUCUGAAAGUAAUAUAAUCUGAAAUGGGGUACUGUGGUAUCUCCAGCAUUACUUCUUUUGCUCAGAACUGCUUUAGCUAUUCUGGGCCUUUUGUUCUUCUAUAUGAAUUUUAGGAUUUUCCUCCUAGUUUUAUGAAGAAUGUCAUUGGAAUUUUGUUGGGGAUUGCAUUGAAUCUGUGGAUCCCUUUUACUAAUAUGGCCAUUUUAACAAAAUGGAUUUAUUUUUGAUUUCUUUUUAUAAUUUUUUACUUUCUCCUUUUUUUCCCUUUCUCCUCACUUUUUCUUUCGUAUCUUUCGUUUCCCCCAUUUCUUUCCUUAUUAUUUUCAUACCCUUUAUGAUUUAGUGUCUAUUUUAUUUCCUUUAAUACCAAAAUUUUCUGACUAGAGUAUUUGUCUUCUUUUCUAUUUUUAAAUUAGUGGAGUUGGAGAGAACAUUUCAAUGCCUUAUAAACCUUGUUAGUAUAUGGUCUGCUUGCAAAUGUCUAGUGAUUAUCAUCUCCUCUCAAAAUGGUGUUGGGAACUGGUCAUAUCACUCUGAACCCAUGGUGGGCUUUGAUGCUGAGAUACACCAGCAGCCCAGGGCACAAAGCAAAGAGAAAGCAGCUCACUAAAAUACUUCUACAGUUGAAGAGGUAUCAAACCCAGCAGAUACACAAAUCUCAACAAAGAAACACAGAAAACAAGGUAAUAAGAUCCUUCCAAAGGUUUUUAACUUCCCAGUAAUUGAACCCAGAGAUAUUGAAGACGAAGUGCUGGACAAAGAAUUUUAAAAGCUGAUGAUCAAAGCAGUCAAUGAAUUAAAAGAAGAAUAAAGGGAAGAAAAAAACAGGAAGUGAAAGAAUACUUCGAUACUCUGAAAAAGAAACAAAUAGAAACCUUAGAAAUAAAAAAAACAAAAACUAGUAAUUCAAAUGUAAUCAAGUGUCACCAUUAGACUAGAUCAAGCAGAAGAAAGGAUAUCAAGGCUCAAAGAUUCAGGAUUCAAACUUCAUACUCAUAAAUUCUGAGUCUCUCCCAAAAGGACAGAGUAAAAAAAUUAGAAAAAAAAAUCAAGAAUAAAUCCAAAUAAACAUUUUAAAAACAUAAAACUGGAUAUCAAUAUCAAAUAAUGGGGGGGGGGGCAGGUAUCUGACCACAGUCAACUCAGAAGACAAUACAGUGAAAUAAAAAAUGUUGAAAAUAUUAGAAUUCCUCAGGCUUUGGCUCCUGUCCACCCAGGCUUCAUCCCACCCAACUCUUGUACAAACUUAAUAGGUGGUGACAUGUUCUCUUUGUUGCUGAGAUGUAAUGGCCCCUGGAGUGUCAGUUAACUCCUUCACGGGCACCCUGCAAGUCCCGGCAACAGUGGCAAGCCUUGGUGGCUUUCAAUUGCACAGCACUCAUGCAAUUUUUGGUAUACAGUCAGAUAAUCAUACUAUGACCUUCAGACUGGUUAUUUCUGGUGUGCAGAAAUGUAACGGAUUUGGAGUAUCUGCAACAUUGCUUAUUGGUCUAACAGGGUUUUCUGUGGAAUUUUAAGUAUUUUCUUCAUAUAAGAUAUGUUUUCUGGGAGGUGGUUUUUAUUCAUCUCCAAUUUGAAUAACUUUUCUUUUUCUGGCCUAAUUGUUCUGGCCAGGACUUCCAUACUAUGUUUAAAUAAAAGUGGUAAAAUUUUUAAGGAUUUGUAUUUAAAUCUCAAAAAAGAUUCCUUUUCAUAAUCUUAGGUUAAGUAGCAUUUAUCAAGAAAUUUUCAGGAGAAAAGAUCAGUCUGUUCUCAUCAUUGUUAUGUAUAAAACUAAGUAGUAAGCAUUUUUCUUACAGCAUUGGAACUCAUUGAAAGAUUGCAUGGCAUAAACAGGAACGAAUAAAACCAACAUCUUUUUUGAUAUAAAUGCCAAUCUUUUGUUAAGUAACACUGUAAAAAUUAGCUAUGCGUAUAAGGAAGUAGUAAACUGCUCUGGGGGGGAAAAAAAAACAUAAGUGGUGAAAGUAGGCAUCCUUGUUCCUGAUCUUGGAGCAAAGAUCUUCAGUCUUUCACUACAAUGUUGUUACUAAUGGGCUUUUUGUAUAUGGCUCUGUGUUUAGAAUGCUAACUAUUACACAUAUGCUCUUAGUAGGCUUUCCCAAAUUCCAAUUAUUAUCCAAACUGUCCUGGGUUCCUCCAUCAGUUGAAUAACGUUCUUUUGUUUUAUUAUCACAUUUUCAUUUUAAGGUGGCUUAAGUUUGGCUAUUUCCUGAUGAUCACCAUUUUAAAUAAUUGCUAAUACUGAAUACUUACAGUUUGCUAGACACUAUCUUGUCAUUGUUACCUGUUCCAGAAAGGGAAGCCAAGAUUGAGUGGAAUUAACUUGUUCAGUGUCACAGGCUAGAACAUGGUGGAAUCAAAGCAAGAGCUUGACUCUAAUCUGUUUCUUUAUUAUACCAUACUACCUCUUGCAAAAAGUACAUCUGAGGGAAGGGUACAAAAUUCCAGAGUCGUCUUCAGAGAGACGCUGCUGGCAACUCCCUAAAGGUAUCUAAAGCAAAAGACUCAUCAAUGCAAGUAGCACUGCCAUUAGUCACAGCCCUGGCUACUCCCUAGUGCAGGACAUAUGAGUGGAUACUUCUAAGCCUAACAUUCUAUGAGGAACUAAUUAAAAAGCAUCCCAGGGAAACUGGAUUCCUCAAUACUCCUCAAAGUAUAGUUCAUGCAUCUUCAAAGAUUAUCUCUGGUCUCUGAUCCUUUACCAAAUUUAAGCAAAUCUGCAGAGAUGGGUCUUAGGAAUCUACAUUUGAAACUGACUUCCCUAAUGACUCUUAAGAGAACCACUGCUCUGAGCAUUUGGGUGGCUCUGCCAGGUGCAUGUGAAGAAUGGGGAAGUGCUGGAGGGGCUUCAGUGAAGGGUGUGUAUACAUUGGUUAUGCUGCCUUCCAGGUGCUGCUAGAUUCCUCAUUAAGGAGCUGUCAUAUCACAACCUAGAACUGGAGAGGAACCGCCUGGAGGAGCUGGGAGUUAAACGCCAGUGUGUCUGGCCUUUCAUCGUUGUGAUGGAUGAUUCGUGUGUCCUAUGGAACAUUCACAGUGUUCAGGAGCAGACCAGGUAGUGAUUCUUCCAAGCAGUUCUAGGGGAGUACAACACAAUGCUAACAAAGAAGAUAAUUUUUCUUGGCUGCAGUUACAUAUAGAGUAAAAAACAGAGUUACAGCUUUCCAGAGAGCAAGGUCAACACCCUCACGAGUACAUUUUGAGAUGACUUAAAGGAUUUUUUUUAUUUAGACAUUCAGUAUGCCAUUAAAUUCCUAGACUAUUUCUGCAUCACAGUGUUGGUCAACUAUCAAUCUGUUAAAAACUUAUCAUUUAUCUAGAAACACUGCUGGCUUCUGAAUCAGGAGACCUGCUUUUAUAGUCCCAGCUAUUUCUCAACGAUGUGGGUGAAGAAGAAAAGUCAUUGAAUCUCUCAAGUCCUUCACCUGUAAAAUUAUGGCAGGGCCAAAAUCAGUUGUUGUUGUUGUCCAAGAACACUGCUGCCCUCCUAUGGGGCAUUUGAGGAUGUCAUGAUGUUAGGAGGCAGUCAUUGGGGGUUCAUAAGGACCAGGGAAUGCUAAACAUUCUAAAAUCCUACACAAUAAACAACCCCAUGAGUUCAGUGGUGUCCCCACUCAAAAUAUUGUGCCAGAUGACCUCUACGUCCUUUCCAGCUCAAGAACUGUGAUUUUUCAGUCCUUGUUUCCAUUGCGGAUGUGAAACCAAUGAAUUUUUCACAUGUUCCUCUAUUACCAGAGCAUACUUUCAUGCUUUUAACUUCUGGCUUUCUUUGGUAACUACUGUUCAUUUACUUUCAAACAUAGCUGGAUUCCUUCCCGUCUUCAUCGUGUGAUAAAUCCUGGCCCCUAAAAGACAGGCUCUACAACUUCCUAGUGACAGGCAGUGUCAACACUGAGCUUAAACACUGUUCUCUAUUCUAGGCUAAUACAAAGCAAGUUGGCUCAUUAUGACCAUUACAGUAUUAUUAUUGCACAGCAGUGUUGGUCCUUCAUAAAUGGUCCUCUCUUCAGUAAUAAAUUUAUUGACAUUUUAUAUAAACUAACAUUUUAUAGCCAGUCCAUGGAAGCAGGAGUGUCCAGUAAGAAUGUGUCCUUGAAGAGUGUCUUGCAGCAUAUUGAAGCCACACCAAAAAUCAUCCACUACGCAAUCCUGGGUAUACAGAAAUGGAGCAGCAAGCUGACUUCUCAGAGUCUCAAGGCCCCAUUCUCUAGGUGCCAUGUGCAUGAUUUCAUUCUUCUCAACAUAGACUUGACUCAGAAUGUGCAGUAUGACUUCAACAGGUAGGUCAGGCCUCAUGGAUGCAAGUACUCUUGGCAUCUAAUGAUUGUUUAUGCCCAGUUCCAGCCUCAGCAAUGUUUUUAUUCCUUCAUCUGUCUUGGAUUGUAAGCCCCUUCAUCACCCUUUGAACCACCUAGAUCCUUAGAUGUUAGAGUGCAAAAUACUUAGAAAACAUACUUUAGCCAUGUUAUUAUCCAACGAGAACUAAAAUAGGCACAAAAACUGUUUGUAAGACUAAAAUCCUUAUCCUCAGAACUCACAAGAAAAUUCCUUCCCAAAAAUGUUAGUAAAACCCAGAGAUCUGGAUCCUAUAAGGAAAAGGUAGCAGAUGAGUAUAAGGCAGGCUAGCCCUGGCCUUGCCUCCUGAAUAAAUUAUGUCCAUAUUCCUGGAAAAUCAGAGAAAGACUAUGAAUUACAGUGGAUGGGGUAGAGAGAGAAGAUGGGAGGGGAGGGAGGGGGGAUGGUAGAGGAUAGGAAAGGUAGCAGAAUACAACAGUUACUAAUAGGGCAUUAUGUAAAAAUGUGGAUGUGUAACCGAUGUGAUUCUGCAAUCUGUAUUUGGGGUAAAAUUGGGAGUUCAUAACCAACUUGAAUCUAAUGUAUGAAAUAUGAUAUGUCAAGAGCUUUAUAAUGUUUUGAACAACCAAUAAAAAAAAUUAAAAAAAAAAAGAAAUUUGCAUAUUCCCAGUAUCUAGGGACAAAAAAAAAAAAAAAAAAUGCCAGGAACCAUAAAGCCCCUCCCAUGUCAACCCUUGACAUUGUAGCCAUUAGAAUUUAACUACUGCUUCCACUUCCUUGUUUUCAAUUUGGCAGAUGCUUUGUCUUGUUUGAACCCAGAGUAUACAAAAUAUAAACUACUGCUUCUGCACAGGAAUACCUAAAACCCUGUAGCAUAUUUAACAAAAAUAAUUUCAUUUCCUCCUCCAAUGGCUGUGAUGCUCAAAUUAGGAGUUUUCAUGGGUCAGUGCUAUGAGGACCAGCUCCAUAAGGGCAAGGACAAUUGUUUUGCGCUCUCCCUAACAUCUGCCAUAAUUUCUCUGUGUAUAGUUGGCAUGGGUGACGAUGUGACAAGCAAAGAAAUCUACCUAUCAUUGUGAUUAUGAUCUAGGUAUUUCUGUGAAGAUGUUGACUUUAACCUGAGAACAAACAGUAGUGGCCUGCUCAUCUGUCGCUUUAAUAACUUCAGCCUCAUGAAGAAACAUGUUCAGGUUGGCGGGCAAAGGGACUUUAUCAUUAAACCAAAGAUCAUGGUAAGAUUUGCAAGCUUGAUUCUGUUGAAAAUAAACAUAAUUCUUUCUGAUAUAUUUGUUAUUAGAUACUGGCAUUAAGCACUUUCCACGUUAGUAGAAAGUAAAGUAAACCAAGGGAGUUCUUUCUUUUUAAAGUUUUUUUUAGGUUUUUUAGUUCUGAGUGGACACAAUAUCUUUAUUUAUUUUUAUGUGGUGCUGAGGAUUGAACUCAGUGCCUCACACAUGCCAGGCAAGUGCUCUACCACUGUUAGCUAUGACCCCAGCCCCCAAGGGAGUUCUUGAUGUUAUCUAGGGAUUCACCUAGAGCCAAAACAAAAGUUUUAACAAUAUAAUUAUUUUUCUUUAGAUUUAAGAAAGUUUUCAUCAAAGUUUUAGUUUCAAAAUGGCAAACUUUACAUUUUGGUAUUCCUAGGUAAUUAACAUGAGAGAGAAAUUUAAAUCAAGAUGCAAGUCUGAUCCUUUCCCAGAUUUAUUUUUACAUAGUAAUACAGAUCAAAAUAAGAGUGAAUUUAACGUAAAGAGUGAAUUCCAUGAGCCUACUUUUUUCUAAGAGAUUUACUAAUACCUGAUCACUUACAGCAUGUGAACUGUCCAGUGGAUCUUAGAAACCUCUUGGCCUUUUUUGUGGGGCGGAGGGGGCAGUGGGAUAGGAUUCAAACCACAUGCAUCUAGCAGCAUUAGAAAUGGCUUCCUAUUGAACUGUACUAUGUACUUGUUAAAUGUAGUACAUUUCAAAAAAGCUUACUUACAACAAGCUUGCUCUUACUGUGUAUAACUUAUUUUAAAUACUAUUAUACUAUUUCCAAAAGAGGGAAAAAUUCAGGACCAAAAAUGACUGUCAUAAUAUUUGAAUUUAGCAUGUCACUGUGCUAUUGAUAAUGCAGUCAUGCCCCAUUAUCUGCAAUUUUAGUUACCCACGGUCAACCAUGGCUUGAAAAUAUUAGUAUCUGUCUUGAUUGUCAAGAGAGCACAUAACCUUUAUUACAGUAAGUACACUACUGAACUGUCCCACUGCAUUAUUGCUGUUAACCUCUUUUUUAAAAAAAAUAUUUUUUUAGUUGUAGUUAGACACAUUAUCUUUAUUUUUUAUGUGGUACUGAGGAUCGAACCCAGGACCUUGCACAUGCUAGGCGAGUGCUCCAUCGCUGAGCCACAACCCCAGCCCAUUAAUCUCUAAUUUUUAAAUUGAACUUUACCACAGGUAAUUAUGUAUAAAAGAAAACAGUGUACACAGAAUUUGAUACCAUCUAGGAUUUCAGGCAUCGAUUGAGGGCCUUGUAACAUAACCCUCUUGAAUAUGGGGGAAUAGUAUCUGGAAAUAUUAGGAUGCAAUACAAUGUGUCCUUGGACAUUUCAUCUAGUAACAGACACAACAUUUCCUAUGAUUACCUUGGCUCUUGAUUUCAGGUGUCGGAGAGUUUAGCUCCCAUCUUGCCCCUUCAGUAUGUCUGUGCACCCGACAGUGAACACACGUUACUGGCAGCCCCUGCGCAGUUUCUCCUGGAGAAGUUCCUUCAGCAUGCUGCAUAUAAACUCUUCCCCAAAGCCAUCCAUAACUUUAAGAGUCCUGUGCUGGCCAUUGACUGCUACCUUAACAUUGGACAGGAGGUAAAGGUGGGGGUGGCUAGUACUGUGCUUACCUACAUCCAUUUCUUUCCCAUUUAAUUUGGUUUGAAAACUUAAAUAGUGACAAAAGGAAGUCUAUAACGUACUCUGCAAAGGCUCACAUAUGAGGUAAUGGCAACUGUCCCUCCUCAUCCCUAUUUCACCUUUACAGAAUGAGCCAGUGACCAAUCAUAGCUUAGCUCAGAUGUCCUAUAAGAAUCCUACCUCAAAAAAAUAAAUAAAUAAAAUAAAAAAGAAUCCUACCUACCUCAAUGACAUUGGGCAGAAGCAAUUUCUAUCUCCCACCUGACUUGACAUUUAUUAGACACUAUUAUAAUUACAUGAAUCCAUUCCAUAAUACUGCAAUGUUCAGAGAAAGUACCUUAAGACCCAUUUGAUAUAAUAAUACUCUUGAUGUUAUCUAUAUAAAUUAUGUGUGUACCCCAGGUCUUCCAAUUCCACUAUCCCAGAGUCCAAAGCACUUAGUAUUAGAUAACCUCAAUACUACUCUUCUACUAACAGCAACUAACAUUUACUGAAUGCUAAGUGGUUUACAUUAAUUUAACUCACAAAUGCCUUAUGAAUCAGGUAACAUUUUUCUCAAUAUAAAUGAAUCUACUCCACAAUACUGUAAUUUACAUGAGUAACACUAAGGUGUAGCAAAAUACAUUUUCCCAGUGCCAUACAGCCACUAAAUAGAGAAGCCAGAAUGUGAACGCAAGCUGACUGGCCCACACAUUAGCCAUUCCACAGUUCUACUCCCAACUACUUUAUAACUUCACAAAAAUCACAGGGAAGUAUACAUUCUGCAUCUGCAAGCUUUAUAGAGCUAAAAUUUUAAAUUCAUGCAGUCUGCACCUCCUGGGGAUUGAACCUAGAUCCUUGUGCAUGCUGGGCAAGUGCUCCACCAUUGACAUACAAAAGCCCUGCCCUCAUGCUGUUUUAAAAUCCUACCCAACUGAAAAUUUUGUCUAGAUGAAAAGCUAAUUAAUUAAAAUUAUUUUUAUUCUCAAGUAACCUAAACAUUCUCUUUCCUAAAUAUACUUUUUAAAAAAUGAAAGAUAGUCCUUUUUAAAAUUUUAUAUUCUUUUUAUGGAGUUUUUCUCCUAAAAUGAAAUUAAUAUUAAAUCUCUGUCACAACAGACCUUUAUUAUGAAAAAUGGGAGACAUUUUAAACAGGUUAAAACUCGGUAUACUAAAAAGGAGAUGAAUAGCAUAAAUAACCACCACUCCUAACACUGAAAAAAAUUCAGCUUCUUUGUCUUACUGAAAAAAAGAGGAAGGCACUAACUCAUUCAACUAAAAUGCAGGUGAUUUGCUUGCUUUUGAAAUCCCCAUGCUAUUUCUGCUUGUUGCUUUCAGGUGGCCAUAUGCUACAUCAGCUCCAGACCCCAUUCCAGCAAUGUCAACUGUGAAGGGGUGUUUUUCAGUGGACUCCUUUUGUACCUCUGUGACUCUUUUGUAGGUGCUGAUCUUCUUAAGAAAUUUAAGUUUUUAAAAGGUAAAUCAAAUUAAGUAUCUUGAAUAUGAAUGUCACUGGUUCCCACUAGGAAAAAAUUCAGGUUUUUUUUUCUUUUUCUUUCUUUAAUGCAUAUUUUAACACUGAUUUUGGCCAAUAAUUUGGAUACUUGGUUAUCUGGUUAUCUUGAUUUUAAACCAGAGCCACUGGGGAAAAAAGAUCAUCAAAUCAUUGUUAUUUAUGACUAAAUGCAGGUGAACAGAGUUGUGACAACAUUAAAUACAGUUUUGCCACUGUUAAUUUUUGGAAGUAAUUUAAGAAUACAUAAUGCUCCUCCUUAAUUAAAUAGUUAAACAACUUAUGUUAAUGAGUCUACCCAUGUUUAUAGUAAUCUGAACAUAACAUUGCUUGGGUCAGACACCAGCUGCAAUAAAUGUGUAUAACUGCAUCCUCUGACAUAAACCCUUAGUUAUGAUUCUGGUACAGAAACUAAAGAUAAUUUUAAUAGGCAAAUUUAACUCUACGAUGCAUACCUAAGAACAAACUGCAGGUUAAGCAUCACAAAUCCUGGCAUGAUGGCUUUUGAGGUCAGUGGAAAAAAAAGGUUCAGAAAACGGUGUGUGGCAUAAGAAUAAAGAAAACUCCACUUAUUUGUGUACAUAUGUAGUUCUAAACUGGGAAGUUGGGAUGUGACUUUCAGAAGACAUUUGAUAUUGUCUGAAGAUAUUUUUUUUUUCGUUGCCACACUGGGAAAUGCUGCUGGCAUAUGGUGGGCAGAAGCCAGGGAUGCUGCUUCACAUUUUAAAAAGCACAGACUAGUCCCCCAAAACAAAGAAUUAUCCAGUCCAAAAGUGCUAUGGUUGAGAAACCCUAUUCUAGAGGACACACAAGACACACAGAUAGCACUGGUUACUACAGUUCAGUGAAUUCUCACUUUACAAUCUCAACUUUUUAAUUUGCAAAUCUACUUAGAAUAAAAACCUGAACAAUCCUGAUAUGCUACUUACCUAUAGAUUUCGUUCUAAGAAGUUUUGGGAAUACAUCAAAGAGAAAUAGUAAGGUUAUUAGUUCAAUCCAAGAGCCUAAGAUACAUUUUUGCCUUUUCCCUGAAGGUGCUACUCUGUGUGUCAUCUGCCAAGAUAGAAGCUCCUUACGCCAAACAAUUGUCCGCUUAGAGCUAGAGGACGAGUGGCAAUUCCGCCUCCGGGAUGAGUUUCAAACUGCCAACAGCAACGAUGACAAGCCUCUUUACUUUCUUACUGGACGUCAUGUAUGAGCUUUGGAAGAGACCAAAAAUUGCAAAGGGAUGCCUAGCUGGGGUGGGACAGAAACAAUUAUUGAGGGAUUUUUUUUUUUCUUUAAAGUACAAUCACUGUGGAGCAAAGUGCAACAUAUUUGUCUAUUCUCCAAAGAACUCCCCAAAUCUAACCAAGUCUUUGGGGACAUCACUCUCCUUCAGUUCUAAUUACAGGACCCUACAUUCAGGCGAACUCCACUGUAGGCAAUUAUGCAAUUACUUAAGAUGUGGUCUGCCUGUGGGAGCCUGAGGAGGAUAGACUUUGGAGAACAAACAUGGAGUUUGCAUUGGUUUUUUUCUACUAUACUGCAUUGGGGGAAAAACUGUCAGCAUUAGCUUGCUUGAAUGUGUUACAUGAGAUACACCAUUGGUGUGGAAAUAAUUGAAGAUUAACAUUUGAGGCCUGAACCCUCAGUUUCUCUUCAGAUCUGUACUUUGGUACAGUAUUACUCAGGGGUCUGAAAUGAUAGAAUGUAGAAGUUAUUUGUAUUUAAAAAAAGUAGUAGUUUUGUCUUUUUCUGUGCAGUGUUAGUUUAAGAUUUAUAAUCUUUUAUGUAUUGAAACUUUUGGCAAAAUUUCCACAGGAGUUAAGAGUUUACUAUUUAAAGUGAACAAACAAAUCAGUAAAUGCAGAGCAGGCAUUGUGUACAUUUAUGAAGAGUCUCCUAGCUUAAUUCCUUUGCUUUUCCCAUUCUUUAAAAGUUUCCAGUCUUAAAGCACACCAUGUCUAAGAGAAUAUGGAAUAGUGAUUAAUCUCGUUUAAGAACCUGAUUAAGCAGUUGGGCCAAUUAAGCAGCUUUUAGGAGUUAACCUGUACCCACCCUGUUUUGAUUGAAAAUAAGCAGCUAGCACUAGGCAAACCUAAAUGUCAAGCUGAGGCUCUGCUGUGGAGUAGAACCAGUCGUGCCCCCCGUUUCGCCCCCCAAACUCAAGCACAGCUUCCUUAAAAAAAAAAAAAAAAACAAUAUUAGCUGCCUUACACGGACAACACAGAAAGUGCUGGAAUGGGAAAUAGAACCAUGGAAAGAGAGAACUAUUUUACUUAAUUAUACCACUGACAUAUUUGUGAGGAGUAAAAAAGAUGCCAGGAGUUUUUGACUCAAAAUCAGUACAUGAUGUCUGACCAAUAUAAACAGUAGGAUUUCUCACCAAAUAUUUUAAUGAAGAGCAGAUUCUAGGAAAUAUUCUAGAAUAGUCUAUUUGAAGUUUAUACUUAUAUUACUCCGGUUCUCAUCAUUAAACAAUCUCUUUGAGAUUUUUUGAUUUGCCCACAUGUAUCACUUUAUCCCCACUUAAAAUGGCCUUUGUUACUUGAAUCUGUCUAGUGACCUGAAACUACUGAGAGGGGCCUACGAAGCCUGCAUUUACUUAGAACAAAUAGUGUUUUAUCUUGUGAUAACAAGGAGUUUACAGCUAGUGGAAAGAUGGAAUGUAUUAGAUUGAAAAUGGCUUGCAGAUCUCUUGGUUUUAAUAUAGCUACUUUUAAUGCUUUAAAUGUAUUUUGAAAUGAACAAUUCCUUUUAAUCCCCUUUUUGUCCUUCAAAGAAGACCUGCCUUAUUAUAUAUGCUUUAAAAACUUAGUAUAGCAGAAUUUUUAGCAAAGAGGUACGUUCUAAAGCAACUUGGUGUAGAUAUGAAUGUAUUUCACUUUUUCCUGUUUUGUUGAAAGGGCCUGAUGCAGAUGAUAUCAAAAAACCCACUGUUUGUGCAAUAUUCCAAUAACAUUUACUAUAGGGCAAAUAAAAUACUUGAAGUAGUUCUAAUUUUACCUGGGGCAGAUGGCCUCUCAGUGUUUGUUCUGGUUUUAUGUAUGAUUUCAUGGUCUCAAGGUUUUUUUAAGUUUCUUUAGAUGCAGGUACUCCAUGUUAGGGCUGCACUCUAAAAAUUCAAAUUAUUAUGAGUUCAGAACUACUACUCAACUCUGUGGAAGAGAAAUGCCAGAAUAAAGUCCAACACAUCAACUCGAUAGUGGAGAAAUUUAAGUUGACCUGCCUAAUUUUUCUUCUUUUUUUUUUUUUUUUGAAAGCCUCUUAAAUCACUUUAUCACUCUUAAUUCUUUAGAGAAUGUUAGGUCAUCUCUAAGGAGAAAAUUGCACAAGCACAGGACACCAUGAUUUGUUAGUGUAUGUGUUCAGUUUAUGCUUUUCCACCCUUUAAAACACUAGUGUGGAGUGAAUGGAUUCACUAGGCCCACACAAUAACUCACCUACACACCUGCUAAAAACUAUGGCAUGUAUGUAUGACACUUCACACAGGUUAAUACUAAAUGUAAACUAAAGAUUAGAAUUGUAGUUGUCAAUUUGGUUUGGCUGUAAUUUAUGCAAAUGCUUUUUGUGACUUUUAGAAAAAGGGGUACCUGUGUUACAUUAUUACUGUAAAAUUUUAACCAAAAUUUGGUGAAUUUCACUAGUCAGUCUACCUCACGUUUUGUUGAUGAUUCAAGUUGUCGUAAGUUGUGUCUACAGUAUGUUCUUGUCCUUUCAUUUAAUUUGGUGAAUGUAUUAAAAUUCUCUCCCACUCCCCACCCCCCAAAAUAGUUUGUUUUCUUUAAACUAAUUUUCUAUUAUGUUAAAAAAAAACAGAAUGUGCUCUCAGACUCUGACAACAUCCAAAAAAGCUUGGAAAUACCAAUAUUAUAGGAUGGAUGACUCAAAGAUUCUUCUAUUCUGGCACAAUAGUCCAAGAAAGUAGCAGAUAAAUAUUUGUUGAAUGAAAAUCUGUAGCUCAAAUACAUACACACACCUAAAGUAUCUAUAGACCCAUUUGUAGAGUUGCACAUAAUUAUAUAUGACAGACCUAGAAAUGAUUAAAGAAUUAGAAAUAUUCACACUACCUCCCCCAUCUUUUAUAGAUGGCAACUACACUCAGUUUGGUGUCCUACUCAGAAACACAGUGUUGGGUUUACUAGAACUGUGUAGUAUGAUACAAGGUACAUACUGUUAACUUCCAAUUUAUUUCUAAACUGCCUAAUUUUAUCAACUCUUGAACCCAUUAUACUCUCUUCUAGGCUAAAGGCCCCUUGUCAUUUACCUCAGGAGAGACAAUAAAUAUUUCUAAGCCUGAUAGCAGACUGACAGGAAACAAACUACCAGUUUUCCUUCUACAGCAUAUUCCCAAGCAGCCACCCUGAAAAGACUAAACACACCCAAGGCCAAAUCUUCACAUUCAACUACCUAGAUAGACCUGGACUAACAUCCUGGGAACAAACAUUUCUCAGGCUUCUCUUCACACAUGAAAACUUAUCCCCGCUUAAGCUUCCUCUGACUCUAGGAGAAUACUGCUAUAACUGAAGCCCUGGCCUCACUGGAAAAGUCAUCACCAAAGAUGAUUUCAGGAACAGUUAGUAAGGUCAAAGAAAAAGCCUUUCACAUAAUAAAUUCACUAUACUCUUAACUAGCAAGUUCUAAACUAAAGCAUCUACUCCAGGGCCUAUGACAACAGAUGGAACAAGUUCUAAGAAAGAAAAGGCAACCAGUAAGUCAUUCUCUGACCACUUCAUUCCAUAAGUAGCUCAUGUAUUUUAUUUUUACUAGGAGGGUGGUAGGGGUGAAGGACUGCCUUAAAACAGAAUUCUUCCCGUUUUCUGUUAGAAGGCUCAAGGGUCAUGAGAAAGAGACAGUUCUGUAGUCACUACCCUAGGAAUCAACUCAGCAAUCUUAACCCUAGGUGAAGUGUGGGUGGUCAGGAAUAUGGCUAUAUUUCCAUCCAAAGGGAUAAGACUCCCUUGCUGAGCAACUCCAAGUAAGUAAGAACAAUUAAAAUACCAUUACAAUGGGGCUG
rnacentral:lncRNA from 1 species